rnacentral:misc_RNA from 1 species
GAUGAAGAACGUAGCGAAAUGCGAUACGUAGUGUGAAUUGCAGAAUUCAGUGAAUCAUCGAAUCUUUGAACGCACAUUGCACCUCUCGGUAUUCCGGGAGGUAUGCCUGUUCGAGCGUCAUUUGUACCCUCAAGCUCUGCUUGGUGUUGGGUGUUUGUUCCGCCUCUGUGUGUGAACUCGCCUCAAAACAAUUGGCAGCCGGCGUACUUGUUUCGGAGCGCAGCACAUUUUGCGAUCCAGAUCAACGUACAGCGGCAUCCAAGAAGCCUUAUUUAACGCUCUUGACCUCGGAUCAGGUAGGGAUACCCGCUGAACUUAAGCAUAUCAUAACGGAGGA